UACCAUCAAACAAAUACAAAUAAUCAAUUCAUAUCAAUACAUUAUUCUAUGAUUCAAAGAAUAUUUUAAAAAUUAGAAACUAUUUUUACAAAUUAUGAAAAAAAUAAAAUAAUAAGACCUUCACUACCAUCCAUGGCACCUUUACCACUGCAAAACUCCCACCAAACACAAAAACUUCAACCCCUGCUCUCCCUCCCAUUAGGACACUAGCAACAACCAAAAACACUCAGAUCUUCACAAAGUGAGAAUUGAUUCACAACAAAACAACAAC
rnacentral:lncRNA from 1 species